rnacentral:rRNA from 1 species
ACUUAAGCAUAUCAAUAAGCGGAGGAAAAGAAACCAACAGGGAUUGCCUCAGUAACGGCGAGUGAAGCGGCAACAGCUCAAAUUUGAAAUCUGACCCCUUCGGGGCCCGAGUUGUAAUUUGUAGAGGAUGCUUCGGGUGCGGCGCCGGUCUAAGUUCCUUGGAACAGGACGUCAUAGAGGGUGAGAAUCCCGUAUGCGACCGGCGGUCAACCCCAUGUGAAGCCCCUUCGACGAGUCGAGUUGUUUGGGAAUGCAGCUCAAAAUGGGUGGUAAAUUUCAUCUAAAGCUAAAUACCGGCCAGAGACCGAUAGCGCACAAGUAGAGUGAUCGAAAGAUGAAAAGCACUUUGGAAAGAGAGUCAAACAGUACGUGAAAUUGUUGAAAGGGAAGCGCUUGCAACCAGACCUGCCCCCGGGCGAUCAGCCGUUAUUUUUAGCGGUGCACUCGUCCGCGAUCAGGCCAGCAUCGGUUCGGGCGGCCGGAUAAAGGCCUCGGGAAUGUAGCUCCCCCCGGGGAGUCUUAUAGCCCGAGGUGCAAUGCGGCCAGCCCGGACCGAGGACCGCGUUUCGGCUAGGAUGCUGGCGUAAUGGUUGUAAGCGACCCGUCUUGAAACACGGACC